UUUUGGACAAUGGGGGCAACCCUGAUCCAGCCAUGCCGCGUGAGUGAAGAAGGCCUUCGGGUUGUAAAGCUCUUUCGGACGGAACGAAAUGGGCGGGACUAAUACUCCUGUCUGAUGACGGUACCGUAAGAAGAAGCACCGGCUAACUACGUGCCAGCAGCCGCGGUAAUACGUAGGGUGCGAGCGUUAAUCGGAAUUACUGGGCGUAAAGCAUGCGCAGGCGGUUUCGUAAGCUGGAGGUGAAAUCCCCGGGCUUAACCUGGGAAUGGCCUUCAGGACUGCGAGGCUAGAGUGCGGCAGAGGGAGGUGGAAUUCCACGUGUAGCAGUGAAAUGCGUAGAGAUGUGGAGGGACACCGAUGGCGAAGGCAGCCUCCUGGGCCAGCACUGACGCUCAUGCACGAAG
rnacentral:rRNA from 1 species